CAAUAUUUCCCCCUCUUCCUCCCAGAGCACCCAGACCGAGUUUUUCCUCUCUUCCUCCUAAACCAAACAGCUGAUUUGACGCUGGAAGAUGCAACCAAGACUUCAGCUGCGGAAGAUCAGAGCAAGACGGAGUCGAACCCUAAAUCAAUGCAAGACGAGAACGCCAAGUCCAAGCAAGAGGAUUGGGGCAGCUCUAUUCGCCCAAUCUACACCUUCUCUACUGUUGAGGAAUUCUGGGGGUUUGUCAUUCUCUCAUUGUGUUCUGUUUGUUUUCUUGAUGAGAAAAUUGAGAGACAUAUGAAUCUUUUGCUCUAUUGUGUUUGUAAUUUCUGAAUUGUUAUCUUUUAGGGUUUUUAAUGAAUGAGAAUUUUGGGAAAGAUAAGAACAUGAUGGUUAUAAAUAUUCGAAAGUAGGCAAAUUUGUGGAGGCAGUGUUUAAAGAUUAAUUUUUUUUCGUUUAGAUUUGGGGUUUUGGGUGAAAAUUUGCUAUAUUGCUUUGAAAAUUUGCUUUUAACAGAGAGAAAACUCAAGAUUUUGGGUUGUACUGUUUACUGAUUGUUUUGAACUCUCUUAUUGAAUAAAUAUAAGCUGGAUUGAUGAAGGUCGAGAGAGAGAGAGAGAGAGGUGUUUUCCAAUGCCAAAUUCCAGCUUCUCCAACUUUAAUAGUCAUUACUUUGUUAACUCUGUUUUGUUGUUCAUAUAUCUGCCUGUCUGCGUUUAUGUACAUUUGAGGACAAUGAAUAUUUAGUGUGGAUACAUGUUUGUGUGCGUUUAUAUACAUAUGAGGACAAUGAAUAUUUAGUGUGGAUACAUGUCUGUACUUAUACAAAUAUUUGGAAUCUGGAUUCUCAUUUUAUUUCUCAAGACUGAAAUUUGCUUUCUAUUAUUUUUGAGAAACAGUGGGGAGAGUUAGGGAAUUAGUUCAGUUUGGGGCAUCUUCAAGAAGUGAAGACACUUAGUUUUGCAAAUUUCAGGCUUUGAAUGUCUGAUAUGUGGUUUUCUCUGUAAUUUGUGCUUGGGGGUUGCUUAGAUUCAAGAAGUUGGGAAAGCCAGGCUGUUUUGACACACUUACAGGGAGGUGUUUGGACAGGAAGCAUAGACACAAGGUUUCUAAAGACAAUGUGAAGGAAGGGAAGCUGCUAGAAAAGUAACACUGCUUUCCUGUCUUUCCGGUUCGAGAUUUUGCUGCUUCUUCUUCUUCAGAAGGAACAGAAGUUAUAAACUCCUCAUUGGUUUUGAUAAUUGUUAAUCUUUCUAAUUCCAGCCCACCGGAAUCAGGAACAAAUGAGCUUCUCAUCAACACGGAUGAAGCACUAACAACAGACAAAUACCUCCAAAGAACUCAUGUAGAUUAUUUUGAUGACAACUAACCACCUUUGCAAUUUUUUUGAACAAAUGUUGGUUAAAAUACCCCAGCUUCUGCCCAAAACAUCAAUUUUUUUGGAAUAUGUGAUUGCAAGUCUGGUCAAAACUCCAGCUUUUGUAAUGUGUAAAAUGAUAACAUUUAAGUUAAGUUAGUGUUUCUUACCUUAUGAA